AUUCAUCAUGUAUGCUUUUCUAAUUAUAAUGGGGGGUGGGGGAUGAAGAGGAAACUUUUCGAGCCACACACCGGAAUUUACUUUGAGGAAAUUAAAGUGUUCAUAGCAAUAAGUGUUUGAAUACUACAGCAUGGAAUAACAAAAUAGGACUUUGGUAUUUGUUUGUGGAGUAGAGAAACCAAAGUAAGAUGAAUAGGGACAGUUGGGGGCAUUGGAAUUUGAUAGUCAGAGGUGAAAUUCCAUGGAUUUAUCAAAGACCCAACAAAGGCGAAAGCAUUUGCCAAGGAUGUUUCAUUGAUCAAGAACGAAAGUCAGGGGAUCGAAGACGAUUAGAUACCGUCGUAGUCUUGACCGUAAACGAUGCCGACUUGGGGGAGGUGCGAGAUGAGAAGCGCAUCACAACCAAAGGAGAAAUCAAAGUGUAUGGGUUCUGGGGGGAGUAUAGUCGCAAGGCCGAAACUUGAAGGAAUUGACGGAAGGGCACCACCAGGAGUGGAGCCUGCGGCUUAAUUUGACUCAACACGGGAAAACUUACCAGGUCCGGACAUGAUGAGGAUUGACAGAUUGAGAGCACUUUUAAGAUUUCAUGGGAGGUGGUGCAUGGCCGUUCUUAGUUGGUGGAGUGAUUUGUCAGGUUAAUUCCGAUAACGAGCGAGACCCUGUGAUGACGGUAAUGAUUGAGUAUGUAAAUACGCGAGACGUUUCUUCAUCGACACCCCA
rnacentral:rRNA from 1 species